ensembl:lncRNA
GUCAAGAAUGGGCGCGGUUUGAACACAAAUCAGCUUGUCAUGCGCAGAAACGUAAGAAAGUGUGCAGUUUUGGCGAGAUUUUAGCGGGUUUUUAAAAUUUAUCAGGUUAGUUUCCCCCAGCCAUUGUUAUCAAAUGAUAUUUUUUUUGUGUGUUUUAGUAAGGGGACACACCCAUGGGUCAGUUCUCCUCAAAAGUAUUCAAUAUAUACAAACAUACAUACAUAUAUAUAUAAACAUGUUACAAACAUUUAGGUAAACUUUAGGCGGAAGAAAAACUGGAAUCCAGCAGGUUAAUUUACCUGCAUUGUUUGAUUAUAUAAGCAGGAUUAAGCACAUUUCAGAAUUUAAUAAGUGGCUCUCCUUCAAUUCAUGAGUAAAUGUCAAUAAUUUUUUGCGAGGUCUCACAGGAAGCUGAAUUUGGAUUGGAAUGACGAGGAAUUAUUUCACUCUGGCACACAGCUGGCAUCGGCGACUUUCCAUUAGGCAUCUGAGUGGCCGCCUCGCUGGUGGGAGGACCCGCACUGGGGCCACUUCCUGGGGAACACAAUACCAGUUUCAUCUCCCCUCUGAGUUUGUUGCGUGCCUAAUCGUACAUGACUUUGAGGAGACGACGUGCGCUACCAUCCCAGCACGUCGUAUUUGAAUAUGGACAAAAAAACAGAUCAGACAUUAGCAACUGCUAUUGAUCCUCAAAUAGGGGCCGAGCUGUCUGUUUUGAACGCCGCUGCCCGGUCGAUCCCAUCUGACCUACUGUUCACAAGAGAGCAUAAAUUAGAAGGAAAUCUCAGGGUAUCCUCGGUCCUCUCACACAGACAGCAGGGACGGAGAACGGCAGAGAGCCUUUGGCCAGAGGGUGGCAGCAGUGAGUAGCCCUCGCCACAGAGGUCUGUCAGUCUGAUUAUAAUUUAUGAUCCAUUUCUAUUAUAGGUGGGGUGUGCAGAGAUAGUUACAGUAAUAAUUAUCAGAGUGAAGCGUUUCCUAGGCAACUAGAAUCUUUUUUUUUUCUUCUCCAUUCAUGCGGGCGUAGCAAAAACUGAGUGUCUGUGUGUAGCAUGACAUGGCUAGUAGGCCUGUGCUACUGUUAUCGACACUCCAACUGCUGCAUGUGACAAUUUCACUAUGUUCUAGUACUGCAGGCUUCUGUCUGUGUACAAUCCCCGCAGGCUGGACCACACACACACACACUGCCUUUUUUUCCUCCUCCAAUUUCUUGCAUAUUUGCAAAGAUUAACAUUUAAUAUACGCUUCAUUCCAUUUUGCAGUACAAAACAACUAUAUUGGCCAAUUUUUUUUUUUUUUUUUUUUUUUUUUUUUUUUAAACAAGCAAACGAUUAUGGGAAUUCCGUUAAUGGCUUAGACUCUUUCUUACAUCCUUUACGACUGACAAUAUUGCUGUAAUUUUUCUGUACUUCUCUGUUUCCUUCAUGUUGGCAGUAGCAGCACGAGUGUUAUCCCUGUCUUCACCUCAGCAGCCACGUCCUCUUGGGUCCUACACAAGCCCCCUGCACAAUUACAGGACAGCCCUAAUUCCUUAUCAUAAAAAUCCAAUGGUGUAAUGUUGGAGGAAUUGCUGUGUUGAGGCUAAACAAUAGGUCUCACACACUACGCUUUGUGUCAUUAAACUCAGCAUGCAAGCUUUGAAGUGUCCCUUAAUUCGGCCAUGCUGCGCCUCUUCCACAUGAAGAUAUUGCAACAAUAUGAAGAAAACCAAAUGAGAGAGUCAGAGAGACAAAUAGAGAUGUAGCCAUCACCUUCACUGUGAACCGCUUUUAUUUUCAGUGCUGUUAGGUGUACUACAGAGAUUACUUAGACCCAUUACCACAGUUAUGGUUAGGCGGAGCACCAGAGCAAUAGAGAAACAGUGUUCUCC